CAAUAGCGUAUAUUAAAGUUGUUGCAGUUAAAAGCUCGUAGUUGGAUUUGUGGCGUACGGUGUGUUCCGGGCACUUGUUGUCUGAGUAACCUGCUGUUGCCAUCCUUGGGUGGAACCUGUGUGGCAUUAGGUUGUCGUGCAGGGGAUGCCCAUCAUUUACUGUGAAAAAAUUAGAGUGUUCAAAGCAGGCUUAUGCCGUUGAAUAUAUUAGCAUGGAAUAAUGAGAUAGGACUUUUUUGCUAUUUUGUUGGUUUGCGCAAGAAGGUAAUGAUUAAUAGGGACAGUUGGGGGUAUUCGUAUUCCAUUGUCAGAGGUGAAAUUCUUGGAUUUUUGGAAGACGAACUACUGCGAAAGCAUUUACCAAGGAUGUUUUCAUUAA
rnacentral:rRNA from 1 species